rnacentral:rRNA from 1 species
UAGGGAAUCUUCCGCAAUGGGCGAAAGCCUGACGGAGCAACGCCGCGUGAGUGAUGAAGGUCUUCGGAUCGUAAAACUCUGUUAUUAGGGAAGAACAAAUGUGUAAGUAACUAUGCUCGUCUUGACGGUACCUAAUCAGAAAGCCACGGCUAACUACGUGCCAGCAGCCGCGGUAAUACGUAGGUGGCAAGCGUUAUCCGGAAUUAUUGGGCGUAAAGCGCGCGUAGGCGGUUUUUUAAGUCUGAUGUGAAAGCCCACGGCUCAACCGUGGAGGGUCAUUGGAAACUGUAAAACUUGAGUGCAGAAGAGGAAAGUGGAAUUCCAUGUGUAGCGGUGAAAUGCGCAGAGAUAUGGAGGAACACCAGUGGCGAAGGCGACUUUCUGGUCUGUAACUGACGCUGAUGUGCGAAAGCGUGGGGAUCAAACA